UACGAAGGGGGCUAGCGUUGCUCGGAAUCACUGGGCGUAAAGCGCACGUAGGCGGCUUUCUAAGUCAGGGGUGAAAUCCUGGAGCUCAACUCCAGAACUGCCUUUGAUACUGGAGAGCUUGAGUCCGGAAGAGGUGAGUGGAACUCCGAGUGUAGAGGUGAAAUUCGUAGAUAUCGGGAAGAACAUCAGUGGCGAAGGCGGCUAUCUGGACGGUUUCUGACGCUAAGACGCGAAAGCGUGGGGAGCAAACAGG
rnacentral:rRNA from 1 species